GGGGGAUAUCUACCCGAAAGCGUGGCUUAUACCGCACACACCCCACGGGGGAGAGCACGGGAUCGCUUGACCUUGCACUAUUGGAGCGGCCGAUAUCGGAUUAUUCUAGUUGGUGGGGUAACGGCUCACCAAGGCGACAAUACGUAUCUGGUUUGAGAGGACGACCAGCCACACUGGGACUGAGACACGGCCCACACUCCUACAGGAGGCGGCACUGGGGAAUUUUGGACAAUGGGGGAAACCCUGAUCCCCCCCUCCCGCGUGUGCGAUGAAAGCCUUCUGGUUGUAAAGCACUUUUGUCUCGAAAGAAACGUCCCGGGUUAAUACCCCGCGGAACUGACAGUACCUGCAAAAAAUACACCGGCUAACUACAUGCCACCACCCGCGGUAAUACAUAUGGUGCGCGCGUUAAUCUCAAUUACUGGGCGUAUAGCGUGCGCACGCGGUUCUGAAAGAAAGAUGUGAAAUCUCCCAGCUUAACUUUGGAACUGCGUUUUUAUCUACCGGGCUAUAGUGUGUCAGAGAGAGGUGGAAUUCUGCGUGUAGCACUGAAAUGCGUAGAUAUGUGGAGGAACACCGAUAGCGAAGGCAGCCUCCUGUGAUAACACUGACACUCAUG
rnacentral:rRNA from 1 species